UACGAAGGGGGCUAGCGUUGUUCGGAAUUACUGGGCGUAAAGCGCACGUAGGCGGACAUUUUAAGUUGGAGGUGAAAGCCUUGGGCUCAACCCAAGAAUUGCCUUUGAUACUGGAUGUCUCGAGACCGGGAGAGGUGAGUGGAAUUCCCAGUGUAGAGGUGAAAUUCGUAGAUAUUGGGAAGAACACCGGUGGCGAAGGCGGCUCACUGGCUCGUAACUGACGCUCAGGCGCGACAGCGUGGGGAUCAAACAGG
rnacentral:rRNA from 1 species